rnacentral:rRNA from 2 species
GCCCAGAAGCGGGGGACAACAUUUGGAAACAGAUGCUAAUACCGCAUAACAGCGUUGUUCGCAUGAACAACGCUUAAAAGAUGGCUUCUCGCUAUCACUUCUGGAUGGACCUGCGGUGCAUUAGCUUGUUGGUGGGGUAACGGCCUACCAAGGCGAUGAUGCAUAGCCGAGUUGAGAGACUGAUCGGCCACAAUGGGACUGAGACACGGCCCAUACUCCUACGGGAGGCAGCAGUAGGGAAUCUUCCACAAUGGGCGCAAGCCUGAUGGAGCAACACCGCGUGAGUGAAGAAGGGUUUCGGCUCGUAAAGCUCUGUUGUUAAAGAAGAACACGUAUGAGAGUAACUGUUCAUACGUUGACGGUAUUUAACCAGAAAGUCACGGCUAACUACGUGCCAGCAGCCGCGGUAAUACGUAGGUGGCAAGCGUUAUCCGGAUUUAUUGGGCGUAAAGAGAGUGCAGGCGGUUUUCUAAGUCUGAUGUGAAAGCCUUCGGCUUAACCGGAGAAGUGCAUCGGAAACUGGAUAACUUGAGUGCAGAAGAGGGUAGUGGAACUCCAUGUGUAGCGGUGG